GCCUCAUUGUGUCUGUUCCACGUGGCGUGGGCCAAAUCCGUUUGACUCCAAAAAGCGCAGGGCAGAAAAGAACGCCUGUUGGGUCUCAGCGAGCCUCCUCCUUCGUAAUUACUUCCACUCUUGAGGCUCGCAGCCAGGCAGCCUGGCCCCGUCUACAGCCUGCAGUUUGAGAGUGCACGCGUUUGUGGUACAGGAGGUGUGCGCCCAGUGCUGGAGGAUGGAGACGAUCAGAGUGGAGCGCGUAAAACAGAAAAGCCUCGUCCCUCAAGGGAAAAAAAAAGGAGGGAAACAGAUGGGCAGCGAAGACAAAGGCAUCAUCCUACCAAGAGAGACACCCUGGAAAGCCCGGGGAAGUAGACCACGUAAAGAAGUCACAGUCUCCUGUCCGUCCCAGGAUCAGUGCCACCUUCAAAUGGCCCAGCUCAAGGAAAGUUCUGGGGCUGGGAUGUGACUGUCGGGUAACUCGCUAUAUAACCUCUCAGGAUGCUUCAGACCUAUAGCCACCGAGGGAGCUGAAAGGCGCCGCACUCAUCCUCCCAUCCUAAGACUCUGAGGAGGAUGUGGCUUCUCCAAACCUCAGGACGAGGUCACAUCAUCUGGCCAGAGCAGCACCCACAGGAAAUGCCAUUUCAGAGGACAGGAAGCAGGUGGCCACGUUCUCCUUCACAAUCCUCUAAAACGCGGUGGAUGUCAGGCCUCUGGAUUCAGACUAUCACCCAUGUCACCAAGUUAGUUCCUGGACCCACUGACUGGUUUAAAUUCCAGUGAAGAGCACACGCGGGAUUGUGCACUUGGGGUCCAACAGAAGAGCUUGACAGCCAACUGGAGUAACUUAGGGCCCAGCGAACACUGCCACAGACAACACUCAGUUCUCACAAGCUCAACACACAUUCAUUCCCACCUUCCGGGGACUCAAAACCACGGAAGCUUACAGGGAAACCAAGGAAUUCUCCCAGGGCGCUUUCUGAUUCCUAGGAAGGCUAACUUUAGGCCUCUUCCUCCCAGGAGACUGUCCACCACACUCCGGGAAGCUGCAGGCCCCUGCUCAUGCUCAGCCCACUUCAGCGCCUCCUUCCCCCAGGAAGCCUACCUGAUCCUCCAAGCCAAGGUGAAUUCGCUCCUCCAGUGUGAACCCCUGGGGUCCACCUUGGGCUCCUGGGGAACUUUACACAGCCCGACAUACAGUGCAGGACCGACGUGCACCUUAGGGAAGAAUGCACUCGCAGGCAGGGCUAGUGUUGGGACACUGCUUACCUUCAAUCUGACGGCGAAACGAAGUGCUUGUAAAACUAUGUACGACUGGUCGUUUGUUAAAACAUAGAAUUGAGCCAUGCACUCUUAACCUCCCACAAGUCAAAACCCAAGGAGUAAAUAAGUAACAAUUAAAAUGCCCCUUUUUUUUUCUCUCAGCUAAGAAAUGCUAUUCCGCAAAACUCACUAUUUUGUGAAACCGUGGUGUAUUUCAAAAUGCUGUAACUAGACUCUUAAAAAGUACUAAUAAUGGGGUUGGCGUAACAGCUCCGUGGGUUAACAGCAUUUGCUACCAAGCUUGGUGGCCUGAGUUCGAAGCCCGGGACUCAUAAGUAUAAUUUGAUUUUUUUUUAGAAAGCAGAAACAAUGUAGCAAGGUGGCUCACAUCUAAGGCAGAGGGUCACCAUGAGUUUGUGGCCAGCCUGGGCUAGAGGCCAGCCUGGGCUAAAGUAAUACUGUCUCAAAAAAAUGAACGAACUUGGUAGUAACAAUGAGUCUAUGUAAAUUUCAAAACUGUACUUGCUAUUGCCAAUAACCAGACGGAAUAAACACACAUCACCUCAACCUAAAGGCUUUUAAACUUUGUUACAGCUUCUCGGCAUACCAAAAGUAUAUUUAUGCCACCAAAAUGAGCUUUAAGGGCAAAAUAAAAAGAAAACAAAACUCA